GUCAAAAGUAAGAAAUGAAGUGAACAAAUCCAUAUAUAUAUUUGUUGAAAAAUUCUUGCAGUGGGUAUCUUCCAUUUGCUUUUCAUGCUUCACACUGUGUAUCUUUGGACAUUUAAUCAGCAACUAAUUAUAGGAAAGGAUAUAUUUACUAGCUCAUUUCUCCAUACUAGUUGAUAUUACCAGGUACAUAACAUGCAAUAUAUCAACCUUGCAAUCCAUGCUUUAACCCAUGCAGUUGCCCUCUCCUGCAGCAUGUUUGGGAAGGGAGAGGAAGGAAUGGAGGUACUGUAAUUUCUAUAUUUAGCUCCCUUCUCUUCAAGCCCCUCUCCAAUAACCCCCCCCCCUCAUUUGGAUACAAAAAUAAAAAAUAAAUAAGCCCCCC